AGAAAGGAGUUGAUCCAUUCAUCGGAUCGGGACUGACGGG
rnacentral:tRNA from 1 species